rnacentral:rRNA from 1 species
UGAGGAAUAUUGGUCAAUGGACGAGAGUCUGAACCAGCCAAGUAGCGUGAAGGAUGACUGCCCUAUGGGUUGUAAACUUCUUUUAUAUGGGAAUAAAGUAUUCCACGUGUGGGAUUUUGUAUGUACCAUAUGAAUAAGGAUCGGCUAACUCCGUGCCAGCAGCCGCGGUAAUACGGAGGAUCCGAGCGUUAUCCGGAUUUAUUGGGUUUAAAGGGAGCGUAGGUGGAUUGUUAAGUCAGUUGUGAAAGUUUGCGGCUCAACCGUAAAAUUGCAGUUGAAACUGGCAGUCUUGAGUACAGUAGAGGUGGGCGGAAUUCGUGGUGUAGCGGUGAAAUGCUUAGAUAUCACGAAGAACUCCGAUUGCGAAGGCAGCUCACUAGACUGCAACUGACACUGAUGCUCGAAAGUGUGGGUAUCAAACAGGA